UGCUACUCACUAGGCUUCUGCUUGGAGAGAAAUAAAGACCAGUAACCAUUAUGUGAUGAGAGAUGUUGGGCUGGGGCUUAGCAGUGUCCUGACUGAUUCUCCCUGACAGAUAAGAGGCCAGACUUUGCCAUCAUUAUUCACAAUGAACAGAACCUAUCUCCAUGAUCAGUGCCAUUGAUUUCUUUUGGACUACUUGCAUAGCAAAGAUGAUUAUAUUUCAGUCUACGUCCACCCGUGAUUAAUGGCACCAAGUCCCAAGACACUGACACCACAGCUAUGUAUCUGUGAAGUACAAUAUCCUGGAUCUGACACCGUAUAUUGAAGAAGCCCAGAAACAAGAAACAUUAUAGCCAUUCAUACAAUCAGUGUAAUACCUUCUGAGGGGUUGAAUGGCUCAUCAAGAGCAACUCGAAUGAUUUCACUGGGGCAAGGUCUCCCUCCUGCGUCACUCUCCACACCAGAUGACACAGAUGUGAUGACAGUUGUGAAGCCGCACCUCCAAAGACAAUAUGUGAAGAGCUGAAAAUCAAAACUACCACCCUGUAUUUUAUCUGAGUACCAUUUAAGAACCCAGAAUCAAAGGAACGACAGCUUCAUUCGAGCAAGUAAGAAAAUGAAGGAAGUCGUAUCUCUUUGCUACCUACCGGGAGAAAGGGUUUGGAAGAUAUUUCACAGCCAAGUUAACUUCAAUCCCCUGGACAAUGUUUUACAGCUGUUGCUUUAAAAAACUGUAUAUAUUUGGACACUCUUCUAUCCAUGUUCCUCAAGAACCUUUUCACUGAUUUAUAAGGUGAUAAACUAUAUAUCCUCAUGCAUUUGUGGUGGGCAGAAACACCAGUGAUGCAAUGUCUCAAUGCCACAAUUCAUGGGGGUUGAUUCAGAGACCUCUAGACUAGGCCAUGCUCUUGUGCAGACAAGUGGUAAUUAAAGAAAAAAUGAAAUAUUGUAUAACUUGGUUUUAAGAUAAAACCCUCUCUUUUUUAUAAGGUGGAUUCUGCCCCUGCAAUUUCUGUUGAUCUCUAGGUUUUUAAAACAUGAACCAGAAGUGACAAAGUUGUAAAUAUACCAGGAAUAUUAAGAGGAGAUCUGUCUGUUACCACAUGCAGCUGUUGUUCCCAAAAUAAAACAUUGCUACAUUUAGAGAGAUGAUAAAUUACCAUUUUUUGCCAAGCAUAUACAGAUUUUCAAUAGAGAGAGUUAAGUAAUGGAUUUUCAUACUCUUUUUGCAAACAUAGAUUCAUCACUUUCUCAGGGAAAUUUUGGCACUUUAAUAAGGAUACAUAGUCCUGGCAAAAUAUCUUUUCUGCCUGCCACAACUGCCUUGGCUUCCUUUUAAAUAGAGAAAAUUCAAGCAGAGAAUGGAAAACGAUUUCACAUCUGUGCAACCAACAAAACCGGUAAUACCAGCUUCCUUAUCAGCUGGAGAUAUGCUCAAACUAGCACCAUUUGAGCCCCCCUCCACACCCACACAGUGCUUCACUCCAGUGGUUUGAAUAAAGGGGAACUCAGAUCUGAACCAGAUUUUAGUUCUGCAAAGCCAAGACAUAGCUGCCUUGCCCAUCUGUAUCCUCAGUAAUACCAGAAGAAAAGAAACUGGAGUUAUUUCACAUCUCUUGAUGGCAGCUGAGGACAAAAAAAAUCUGUCAUGCUCUAGGCUGAUGCUUAUUUGGCAUGUUUAUAGGUCUCGUUAUCCUCACAUCUGAGCACCUCACAUUCUGUUUGUUGUAUUGAUCCUCACCACGACCCUGUGAGGUAGGGAAGCACUAUUAUCCCCAUUUCACAGAUGAAGCGCAGAGAAGCUGAUUGUCCAGUGUCAUAGUGGAACUCUGUGACAAAGAAGAGCAUUAAACCCCAGUUUCCCAAGUCCCAGGCUAGUCCCCAAACCACUGACUCAUCCUUCCUCUGGGACCUAACAUUGUUCUCUGGUGAAUGUAUAAAACCAGAGGUGGAUCCAAGGGACAGUGAAGUCUGGACCCAUGCCCAGUGUAUAAAGAAAAGGGGCUGCAGCAAUGCUUAAGCAAUCCUUUGCCCGGGCAGAAGCAGCUGUCCAGUGGGCUUUUUCCACUCCACCUCCUCCUCCCUGCCAUUCUUCCUCUUCUCCAUCAGCAGCCAGGUCCCACAGCUUCUGAGGCUGUUCAAGAAGAAAGCUAAUUGCCAGCUGGCUCAGUCCCCUCCCAGGUUCCCCCCCCCUUCAGAAUAUAGGCUGGGCUGGUAGCACUGCCUAUUGUUAAUGACACCCAAUUCUUCCCAUGAUAAGACUGUUUUCACAUGCUUCUAACAUUGCCAAACUUUUAUCAUUUGGGCUAAAAUCUCCCACACCAGGCAUCUACCUCAGGCUGAAGUUUACUGAAAAAUUUCAGACAAAAUAGU